rnacentral:rRNA from 1 species
AUACGGAGGAUCCGAGCGUUAUCCGGAUUUAUUGGGUUUAAAGGGAGCGUAGGUGGACAGUUAAGUCAGUUGUGAAAGUUUGCGGCUCAACCGUAAAAUUGCAGUUGAUACUGGCUGUCUUGAGUACAGUAGAGGUGGGCGGAAUUCGUGGGGUAGCGGUGAAAUGCUUAGAUAUCACGAAGAACUCCGAUUGCGAAGGCAGCUCACUGGACUGCAACUGACUCUGAUGCGCGAAAGUGUGUGUAUCAAACAGGAUUAGAUACCCUGGUAGUCCACACAGUAAACGAUUAAUACUCGCUGUGUGCGAUAUACAGUAAGCGGUCAAGCGAAAGCAUUAAGGAUUCCACCUGGGGACUACGCCGGCAACGGUGAAACUGAAAUGAAUUGACGGGG